rnacentral:rRNA from 1 species
UACGGAGGGUGCAAGCGUUAUCCGGAUUCACUGGGUUUAAAGGGUGCGUAGGUGGAUUAGUAAGUCAGUGGUGAAAUCUCCGGGCUUAACCCGGAAACUGCCAUUGAUACUAUUAGUCUUGAAUACCGUGGAGGUCAGCGGAAUAUGUCAUGUAGCGGUGAAAUGCUUAGAUAUGACAUAGAACACCAAUUGCGAAGGCAGCUGGCUACACGAGCAUUGACACUCAGGCACGAAAGCGUGGGGAUCGAACAGG